UCAUUGUAAUGUGUUUAUUAGAAAACUUGGAUUUUCUACUUGCAAUUUUUGUCUGUUGACAUUCGUUUUUUUUGUUUUUUUUAUGCCGGUAAGUGUUUCAAUUCCUAUAUUUACUAUCAAUUCAAUGUUAUUAUACUUUUCUCCCCUAUCAAACUGGUUGUUAAAAGGAUGAUCUACCGAAAAAAACUAGAUAUUUGAUAGACCCAAUUCGCAUUGUUUCGCGAAGAUUUUGAUCGUUUCAUAAAAUGGCUGCGUUCAUGUUUGUUAACGAGGGUAACAGCUAGAGAAAGGAAAGAACGAAGAGUGAUCGACGACAUCCUUUGAUUUUAUAACAGACCGGAAGUGAAUAAAAUAGUGUAGGUUUCAACGUCAAGAUCGACAAUGUGAAAGGUGGUCUGGAAACGCCAACCUCAAGAUGCCAUACAAUUUCAUCUUUUAUGUACCAAGUAUAUAUAUAAUGUAGAACCUGAUGAUGGCACUUGUGAUUCUAAAACUUUGAAUCGUUUUAAAACACGUUAUUAAAUGUAAUAAAAAAAACAAUCUGUGGAUUACAACAACAGUGACUCAAACCGUGCAGAUAUUACGUUUAUAUAUAUACGAACAACUGGACAACUACAGAAAACAUACACAUCCAAUUUCAGUUUUUUGCGGAAUAAGUUGAACCAGAAACAACAUGACGAGACGUAGUUAGCAGUAUAAGUAAGCCAAACUGGUUUUAUAUCUACUUGGUCCUGCUGGUAUCAUCAGAAAAGAACAAGACGUUGAUGAGGACGUACAAUUGAUGUGAGCAAGGAAAAUCGCCAAAAAGUGUGAUAAGACAAGAAAUCAAAAUGGAAAAGGAAACGUAAAUAAAAAAGAGCUAUUCUAAAACCGUAAUAUAAAUGAGAAUGAAUAAAAUGAAAAACAUCAUCCUAAAGUAUCCCGAAAAGAACAAAAGAGAUAUGUUAGAUGAUGAUUCAUCUCAAUCGUCUUCAUCUUCUGAUUAAAGUCAUAUUGAUGUCAAAUAUUUUGUAUUAUUCUAUUUACUCAGUUUUAACAAUUUUGCUCCUUAUUGCUAUUUUUUUUAUGUCACUCCGACGGAAGUUUGUGAAUUCGAUUGUUUAGAAAACGAACUUAUAUAUUAUGAUGAAUGCCAAUAAGAUGUAUCUAACCGUAAUAUCAUUAUGUAUUAAAAACCUUCAAUUGUAUUGCAAUGCAGCGACCACAGUGAAACAUAUCAAUAUAUAUUAUGAUCAAGAUCGGUGAUAUAAAAUGGUAUAAGCUUCG